rnacentral:rRNA from 1 species
UACGUAGGGUGCAAGCGUUGUUCGGAAUCAUUGGGCGUAAAGCGCGUGUAGGCUGCUAACUAAGUCGGGUGUGAAAUCCCUGGGCUCAACCGAGGAAGUGCAUUCGAAACUAGUUAGCUAGAGAGUGGUAGAGGAAGGUGGAAUUCCAAGUGUAGAGGUGAAAUUCGUAGAUAUUUGGAGGAAUACCGGUGGCGAAGGCGGCCUUCUGGGCCACUUCUGACGCUGAGGCGCGAAAGCGUGGGGAGCAAACAGG